UUCUAUUACUUUGUAAAAGCUAUUUUAAAACGUCUAACCAUCUGCUUAAUGGCCAGUAAUACGUUUCUAAUGGUCACUCUUGAUAAGAUACUUUCAAUUUACUACGGUAAUAGUAAUCAAACAACUAAGCGCAUUCUACAGUGAUGCAGCUGAGAUUGUUCACCAGUUUCAUAUCAGCAAAGUGUUAUGUUCUUUGAUGGAAAAAGAACAGUAAUUUUGCAGGUUUUUCUAUUUAAACAGUAUCUUUUUCCAGGUGAAAAAUAUGGGUAUGAAAUGUGAACUUCUGAGAUGUUAUAUAAAUGGAUGGUUUUCAGUACUUAUGGAGCCAGGUGUGGUUACUGCGGUUGUAACAGGGUUAUGAAGAGAACAAAAGUUUGACUGUAUGCCGAAGAUUGAGCACUACAUGAAGUUUUUGUCAGGGGACUUGUUGACCUAAUGUAAAGUUACCUCUUGGAGAAGCUCUUCAUUUCAGGGCUGCAGUUGCUAUGGAAGUUGCACAAACCUAGCAACAGCCGGUGUGUCCUGGCGCAAUGCACUUCAGAAGUUUGGCCUCCAAAUGGGUCUAUUAAUACUGCAAAAUUUACAUUGAGAAGUGUACAGAAAUAACGAACAGACAAGAAAUUGUCAUACAUUUGAAAAACAGAAGAUGCAUUUUUCACAUCUGUAAUGUGUGCCUGCAUGUAUGAAAUGUGGCAUUGUACUUUCUAUACUGUUUGCCUUCAAAUAAAAUUAUUUCUUCUGUAA